UAUAUAUAUAUAUAUAUAUAUAUAUGUUAGAUGGACUCAACUAUAUUCAUUGUAAUAUCUUCUUUUUUUUUCCUGACAAUUGGAGAAGUACGUGUGUAUUGUGAUUAGUCCCUUUUGCUCAUUUUGAACUCAUCAUGUUUUAGGCUAGGGCCGACUACUUUCAGGAUAUAUUGACAGAAGUUGUAGUCUAUGAUACUUACACUCCAGAUGUGAAUGUAGAAUGAUUACUAAAAUAGUCGUACGAUUCGAAGCUGAGAUCCGUUGGACUGGAAGUUUUAAAAGUCCUCCCAGGGUAGGCUACACGCCAUUAGCAUAUUAGUGAACUCUUGCUUCACCUGAGUAGCAGUCUCGUAGAAAAACCUUUACUUCAACAUCUAAUACAAUUUGUAGCGCUGGACCUUUCUCUCCUCUAGGGUUGGGGUUUAUUCCUGUUAGUUAGAAUUAUUAAAUGUAUCAACUUGAUAAGUUACAAUUUUCUCCUAUGAUGUAAUGUACCGGUAUUGGUAUUGUUCUAGUGUUAAAAGUGUAUAUUGGUUGUAGUGUUGAAGCAUGUGAUAGUCAUGUGAUGUCCAUGCCCAGAUUUUCUUUUUAUCUAGUUGUUCUUAUGUAUUUAUAUAUCAAUGUGUUUUUUUUUCUCUUCUCUAACUUGAGCAUUGGGUUUGAACUGCCAAUAGCUGGGGUCCCUAUGAAACAUUGAAACAAAUGAGUCUGAAUGCUAAAUUUAUUCAAAUCAAUAAAACAUUAUGCAAACUAAGUUUACCUUUUUUUUAAAAAACAAAAAAAAAUCUUAUCUGACAAAAAAAUCCAUCUUUUUUUUUUUUUUCCUGUAAGAGUGCCUUAUGUGGUUAUAAGCCGUUUUUUUUUUUUCAAAUUCAAACGAUUUGACAAAAACAAAUCAACAUGCAAAAAAAAAGUUGUUCAGCGAGAAACUUGAAACAAAAAAUAUUUCUACCAAAGUUUGUCAUUUACUAGAUGAAAUGAACUUGUUAAAAUAUAGUGUAGAUUGAUAACUAGAUGUGAAUGCUUUUUGAAAGGAUUUAUAGUUGCUUUGGACUAAAAGGCUUCGUGCUGCUAAGAAGCUCACCUUGGAAGCUCCAAACAAAUGUAGAAAUUUAUAUUAUUACUUUGUAUUGGAAUGAAUAUCUAAAUGUAAGACUCAAAUCUUUCCGUAACAACACAAUCAUGAUCAAAAUGUUGUCAUGGUGAUCUAGAAAAUCAAUGAUGAGCUUAUUUUAAAAGAAAAGACAGGCCCACCCCUAUCAUUUACAUAUUUACCUUCCCCAUAAUGCAACUAUUCAUUAAUCAUUUCCUAUAGCUCAUUAUAAUGAUAUUGAAUGAAGUUUUUUAUCUGAGAGAUUCUUAAUCUUCGUCAUUCAACUGAAUGUUUGCCUGUGACUGCCAUCAAGUUCUGUCAUUCAAUAAUAGACUUGUGUUCUGAUUAGGCCCUGAUACAACAAAUUAGCUAUUAGUCAAUUCAUUUAAAUGUAAAGAUUCAAAAUAUCACAUUCCAUUCACUUUCUUUUCCAGGUCCGAAAAUUGUCACACAACAUAUCUUCAAUUUGGGUGUUGUUAUUUUUUUUUUAUUCUUGUUAUUAUUCAAUUAAUAUAUUGCCAUGUCAUUUCUGAGAGUUAGUAUACACUAGCAAAAGAACACAAUCAAAACUCAAGAAAUAUAUAUAAACUUCUUCAUAUAUAAUAUAAGCCCUUGCCAUUUUGUCAUGAAAUCUCAAUGCAUGUCUGAUUGCUAAUUUGGAUAGCCAAGAAAUGACAGAAACCAUUUAAUGGCAAUAAUAAGAAUAUGCACAAAUCUACUCAGCUGUAAAAAAAAUAAAAUAUUAAUAAAUAAAAGGUUUUGACUGAACUGCUGAGCAGAGGAGAACUGUACUAAGAUUUGAGCAAGACCAGUUGUCAUAGUAGGCCUGAACACUGACCUGUGAUACUCAACCCUUGGUCUCCACUGGCCACAGGUUGCCACGUCACAGAUUAGUGUUUAGGCUUAUUAUAAUGAUUGAUGUCUGUUUAAGUGUAUUCGUCUCUGGUUCUCAUUGAGAUCAAAGAAUGUCAAAGCUAAUGAGGCCAGCAAACUAUUGUCAUUCUUACCAACACAUAGCAGGAAUCCAAUAGAUUUUGCUGGAUGUACUUAAUGAUCUUAUCCCAAUUAAAAAUCAAUUACUGCCAGGUUUUAGAGCUAGGACCUAUGACUGGCAACUUACCAAAAUAUCACUAAAUUUCUUUAAAUGUUAUACUCCUAUACUUGGAUUGCAUGCCAUAGUCAGCCUUACUUUCUAAAUCUGAUGUCCAGUUUGCAGUAGAUACAUGAAUAUAGGGACAUGACAAACCUUUGACUUGUUGAAUUUUGAAUCCGACUUUUAUAAACUUUUCCAUUUGGACUUUGUACUCAAAUUUACCUUGCAGAAUAGUGAGAGUCAGUUUAUCAUUCAUAUCUUAUUACUUCUUUGACUGAUGUUGUUUUUAAUAGACAUUGUAUAAUUAAACAUUUUGUUUUUGUAUUAGUAAAGUCUGUAUGUUAUAAUGUCAUUGUCUUAGAUUAGUCUGUUAUGAUUGGUUGUAAUUGAUAAUGGACAAAUAGUCUACAGCGUGAUCUUGUGUUUUGAUUGGUUCUCACUGAUGCUGUUGUAGUAGGAUCAAUAUGUGCAUGCUGUUUCUUUUGGUCUGAGCUUCUACUUGAGUUUGUGGUUUUGUGUAUUUCCCAUUUUGAUUUUGACUAUGAAAUUCAAUGCCUUUGACUAUAUACAUAUAAAAUAAAUAACAACAUAUAGAAUUAAAAG